CCUUCCCAUACACCAGCGAACUCAAGGUGUUCCAUGCGGAUAAGUUAUUUCGGGGAAAUACCUGGCGUCCAUGAGUCCCAUAGUAGGUCUCUAGUUGGUUGCGAUAGUCCCUUGACAUACCAGUCUCCCCUGGAAGACACCAAUCUACCAACUCCAGAUGCUCCUGCAUUCUCAAUGGAUGAUGUUCUCCUUUUGGAUCCGCCCGAAGGCAAGUUAAAACAGAAGGAGCAGAGGAUGAUCCUGAUUAAGGACAACCCUUCUGGGUGUCACGCUUGCCUCCU